ACACAACCCAGCUCGGUUAAAUCCAAGAUGGAUCGCGGGUAGGCUACUAUGAAUGUUUUUUUUUAACCGGCGCAGAUGUUCCUUCAGAAGGCUCCACGUUUCGCAAGCAUAGAUAAGGGAAGGGCAUAACUGUGAGCGAGAAGAAAUGAAACCACCGCUGCUACCGAACCACGCCGCUUCCCACACACACGCGCGCACACACACACACGGACAGAUGUUCGGGCGGCUCAGCACGACCGCAUUUGUCGCAUAAAUCUCGGCUUUAUUUCGCUGUGAAAGCUUCGGGGCGUUAUCAGAUUUGGGUUUCGUCUUGUAUUCCGCAGGCCCAUAAUCCGUGCAUUACGAAUAUUGUUGUCAUAAUCCCCAAAAAAAUCCCCAUCAAAACGCCACCUCUCGGCAACCAACGAGCGCCCGUCCAUCCAUCCGCCUGACUCCGCCCCGGACCACGAAUCGUGAUAAAAGCCAGCAGUGGAGAAUUAACGUCGCAUAGCAGCACACCUGGGCUACAAGUGAGUUUGCUGCGUUGUGAGCGUGCGCUACGUGGUGGGGUUUUUUUUUCUUCCGGCCACGCCACCCGCUCGUGCGCCGCGCCACCCUUAAUAGGUGCUCACUGACAAGCCCUCGUCCACACCUGUGCGAGUAGGCUUUACGCGGGGACCUUUGUCUUCUGUGUGCUACGUGAUCACACGCAUCCAUCCAACUCGCGUCUCGCCACUAAGACGUUUUAUAAACACGUGCACGAGACCGUGUCGUGCAGUGCCGCAAACUCCUCCUCUUCCGCGUGCAAUUAUCUUGCCCGGCUGAAAGCGCGAGCAGAGGUCCGUGAGCUCCACCUGGAGCCACCAUGGAAGAUGAAGACGAUGAUGAGAUGGACGAGCCGCGGAUGCAGUUGGAGGUCGAGAGCCUCCGGUAUCAGCUGGAGUAUGCGCGGGAGCUCUCGUCCGUCACCAUCCCCGCUGUAUGCAGCAGACCGUGGUCAUCGGAGGGGUGUGCUGUGUGGGUGUGCUGCGUGGGGACAGUCUGGUGGGCUGGGUGCAGGAGGGGGCAACAACGGACCCCAUCCUCAACCCCGAGCUCAUGAAGGAAAACCCCUGGGUGGACAAGGGCAAGUGCAUCAUCCUGUGACCGCGGCACCCCGGGGGCCCGUGUCGCUCAACCGUUUCACAAUGACCCCUUCGCUUUCCCUUGUGCGAAUCGCUGUUAAGAGUCAUGUCAGUCACCCGUCCUGUGAUUUUUUUAGAACUAUGAACAUUAAACAAGGUGUGAUGGAUGUCAGUAUUUUUUUUACCCGUGAUAUACACCCGUUGUAUUGCAUCUGUUAUCUUCCCAAAUAAAACGUUUACAUCUCGUUCCCA